rnacentral:ncRNA from 2 species
GGAAUGCGGUGAGAAUCCGCAGCGGACGCGCCACUGUAUGCAGCCCCGAGCUGUAAGCCAGGAGAC